rnacentral:lncRNA from 1 species
CCAUGACCACACCUCUGUGCCCAGACAUGGAUCAGAACUGGGAGAAAAAGAGAAGAUGUGGAACCAAUUCAGGAUUGUCCUUGUGAUUCUUUUUCCUAAGUGGAAUACUGAGCCUCCAGCUUGUGUGUCAUAUGUGUGGACUUUUCAGCAUAUUCUUCUCUGGCCCAGAAGUCUGGAUUCUUCUUGUCUGUUGCAAUAAUAUAAAGUUAUUCAGAGCUGUACAUGAAGAGAAGUCCCACAGGGACCCUGGGAUCAGAAGAACUCUGGGAAAUGCCUGGCCCAGCCAGUGCUGUUCUAAAGAUCCUCAUCCUCAUGGAGAUAACCAUUUUUAAGGAAGAAAAGAGGAUCUGGACCCUACCCAUCUCAGUCUCCAUCAGAUCUUAUGGAUGCUCCAGGAAUUGGCCAUGAUUCUCCUCUUUUCUACCAUCUUGUAUGUUGGGCUUUGUAGAGGAUAGAUGUUUUCUAGAAGAAUGGCAGAUAAGGCAAGGUCUGCAGCUUGCCAUUGAUAGUGUCUUUAUCAACAGAUCUGUGAGGAAUUGUGCAGCUGAGAGGGGAGAAGAGAAAUCAGAGAGUGGAUGGACUGCCACAGUUCAACAUAUACUGGUGCUUUCAAUAUAGAAUCCACAAGGCAACCUGCAUGCUGGGCUCUGUGCUAGGCACUAGGGGUAUAUCUAUGAGAUGCCACCCCAGCUCCCACAGUCUUACAAUCUAAUGGGGAAGAGAGAUAUGUCAAUAGACAAACGCAGCAGAUGGCAAGUGCUGGGAUAUGAAACAGUAAGCAGAAGCCACAGUGUUCUCUGGGACUUCUGAGCUGAGUCCCAAAGUAAUUAGAUUAAUCCGUCAUGGGAGGUGGAGUGGGUAGGGGGAGCUCCUGGAAGCAUGAUCAAAAGUGGAGAGCUAAGGUGAGGGAGAAGAAAGAAAUGAGAUUCAGCAAAGAGGAGGAGAGCAAUGAAGGGCCAUGUAUGACCAGGCGAAGGCAAAUUGUUCGGACCAAACAUGACAGUAGGGUGGGUUUUUGAGGGGUAUCCACUGCACUUACAGAGGCAAGAUUCUCUAUGGUGACCUUUCAGUGAGGGUGGGCAAAUACACUACUUUUUGAGUCAGCCAUUUUUCACUACUGAGCACCUCUGGCCUUAGCAAGUUCUGAGCAUGAAUACUUUCUUCUGUUUCUAAGCCAUUCAACAAAUAUCAAAGUGCUUUCCCAUGUAUUGGUCAUCUUAGGCAAACUGGGUGGACAUGUAGAGCAAGACGUAAUGAGGUAAGCACUCACUAGAGCUAGGUCAUCUUAGAAAAGUCACUUAGCUUCACUGAGCCUCAGUCUUCCUAUCUGUGAAAUGGGGAUAAUGACCCUUAUGUCACCUGGUGGGCAAGGUCUAAAUAAAAUCAUUGUAGUUAGAUCCAUAGUAGGUUCUUUCUGACCUACCACUGUGCACCUCACGCCGUUGCUAUUCCAGUGGGAUAUAUCCAGUGGGGUUACGGGUAUGACAUUUCGGAACCCCACCAUCACUUGUAUCAGCAGGUCUGUCCUAGGUUCCCCAACUAAGCUUCCUGGAUGAGGCACCUAGUGGCGUCCCCUAGUUUGAGUGUGGGGGGUUUGGUAAACUAGUCCUUAUGUAUGCUUGUCAGAUGGAGGGUACUGUCUUUAAGAUGGGCUCAUAGCUGAAUCUGGAAGGUAAGUGCUCCAGGCCAGUAUUGUUUUCUGCAGGAUUCAAAGUUCCCUUGCUAUUUCUGCUGACUUUGCUUCCCCUCUCGUGUUCUAUAUCCCAAACCUAUUAUCUUCACCAGCGUUAAUUUGCCUCCACAACUCUGUUUUUGCAUUUUGAAAUGGAAUUUCCCUUAACCUAUAUUCCUCUGGUUCCCAAACUCCACCUGCUUCAGUUUUUUUUUCAAUAUCAUCUACAUUUCCUUCACUAGAUUAUAGCCUUAGUCAUUUGUACCCUUAGAAUGAAUAUUUUUUUCUGUCAUAUCUUUGUUUGAACCUUUUCACAUUUGACUUCAGACAUUACCCAUCUCCUUCAUCUGACCACUUUCUUCACUUUUCUCAUCUUUCCAUUUUGGUUGUAUGUCUACUGAGCAAGGGGCUCUGUGCAGAGCAUUCAAAGAUGACUGAGAUGUAGUCUUGUGGGUAGAGAGAGACAAUUAGAAUGCACCGUGGAGAGUGUUAGGUUGAGGGAAGCGGAGAUUACAGGAGUCCAAAUGUCUUAUCCGAGGAUAUGGGAUAGGCUUGAGAGAAGAUGCUGAGCUCAUGUAGGUGAGGUAUUGUCCUACGUGAAGGAAAAGAGGCAGGAGAUGGCAGCUUGGAGGCUAUAUUACUUUCUCUGGGGCUGCCAUACCAAAGUACCACAAACUGGGUGGCUUAAAACAUCAAAAAUGUAUUUUCUCACAGUUCUAGAAGGUAGAAGCCCAAAAUCAAGAUGUUGGCCCUACAGCUGUGCUCCUUCUGAAGGCUUUGGGGUGAAUGUGUUUAAUGCCCUUUUCUUAGCUUCUGCCCUUUUCUUUUCUGGCCUUCACAGAAGGCCAAAGAGCAAUCCUUGGCCUUCCUUGGCUUGUGGAUGCAUCGUUUCAGUCUCUGCCUCUGUUUUCACAUGGCCCUCUUCCCUGUGUAUCUGUCUCUACGCUGCUUCUCAUCUUAUAAGGACACAAGUCAGAUUGGAAUAAAGCCUAUUCUAAUUCAGUAUAAUCACAUCUUAACUUGAUUAUGUAUGCAAAGACCAUAUUUCCAAAUAAGGUCACAUUUUCAGGUCCUCGGGGUUAGAGCUUUCACAUGUCUUUUUGGGGGACAUAGUUCAACUCAUAAUAGAAACCUCGCAGAUAAAUCAUUUUGGCCGGUGCACAGAGUUAAGUGGUGGAUUAUCAAGAAUAUGGAAUUUUAGAAUUUUAGCUUCUUGGUUGAUUUUUGGGAAUUAACAUACAGGAGAGCAGGUUUAGAAGUAACAAUAACACUUUGAGAGGCCGAGGUGGGCAGAUCAUGAGGUCAGGAGAUCGAGACCAUCCUGGCUAACAUGGUGAAACCCCGUCUCCACUAAAAAUACAAAAAUUAGCCGGGCAUGGUGGCAGGUGCCUGUAGUCCCAGCUACUCAGAAGGCUGAGGCAGCAGAAUGGCAUGAACCCGGGAGGCGGAGGUUGCAGUGAGCCGAGAUCGUGCCACUGCACUCCAGCUGGGGAGACAGAGUGAGACUCUGUCUCAUAAAAAAAAGAAGUGACAAUAACAAUAACAGAGGCUGGUCUUCUGGGAAUGAUGCGAUACUCUUCAGCCAGCCUUUCUGUUUUGAGCGAAGCCCCAACCUGGAGUUCAAAGAGAGUGAGGGCGCUUCCUGUCUUCUUGUCUUUCUCCUCUCUCCUGCUACUUGUUAUGAAAUUCAGAACAAUUAGAGAUUUUCUGUCUCAUCCCUGGAAUGGUGUUUCUCCUGCUGGCCCUAUCAGGCUGGUGUGUUGAUGUUAUCGGGGAGAGGCUGUAGUUACUAGGAUGAAGAAGGCAAGAGAGAAAUGGAAUUCACGCAGAUCAAACAUGUGUAAUCAGAAGACAUUACUGAGGCUUGAUGAUGCUGUUCAGGGUGUAUUUCCCUUGAAACGCUUCUUAAAAGACAGCAGCUUAAACAAAUGGGCAAGAUGAGAUUCACAGAGGUAACAUUUCAGAGAGAAUGUAGGUACAGCUAAGCAGAGCUAAGCAGUGACAGAAGGAGAAAGUGUGUCUGAAGAAAAAUCUUCAUUACAGAUUUGAAAGAAAAAAAACCCAUCAAAUCCCUCUGCCUUGUGGGUCUCACAGGAGGCAAACUUUCUUUACAAACUGUGUGUUUGUGUUUUGAGUGACUAAGAGUUCAGGGACAAGUUCAAACACACCUAAGUUCAAUUUAAAAGUAAAUGAGAUGACAUUGGAGGAAAUUUAUAAUAAAAUGUCACUCUUUACCUAACACCAUUUUCUCUGGAAUUCAAAAUAUCCAUUGUUUAAAAGUGACACAGUAACUACCAUCUAGUUUGCUGAAUGACCUUCUUUAUAGCGUCAUGGUAUUAGAAAUGGCUUCAGAAGGAAUCACUCAACUGCAUUUAUCUGGCAGGAGAAAAAUGCAGGUAGUAUUUAUUUUGGGGUGUGGUAGGGGAUGUCCCCUAGCAAGGAUCCUAGAAGUCAGUGUCAGGUAUGAGAACAAGAAACAUUCAUUUAUUGCAUGCAUACUCAUUGAGUCCCUACUAUGUAUUGGUAUUAUGUGGCAGUAUGAAUAUUCUCAUUUGUUAAAUAAAGAUACUUGAG